AUGAAACAAACUUUGCAAUCUUAUUCAAACUAUGUCAAACACAAACAACAACAUUGUAACACUAUCAAAUUUAUUUUCCAAAAUUUAAUGCCACAAAUUUCAACAAAACAGUUAGAACUCAAUUGUCUUCACAUAUUUCAGUUUCCACAAAAUCGUCUCAAAAUUAAAUUCAGAAUCCAUUACAGUUUUCAAAAUGUUUCAACUUUUCAAAAAAAAUUCAGAAAAUAA